rnacentral:rRNA from 1 species
GAUGAACGCUGGCGGCGUGCUUAACACAUGCAAGUCGAGCGGGCAAUUUAUCUAGCACUGAUUACUUCAAAUGGAAAUCAUAAGUGUAAUCAUGAAUUUCUACCUUUAAUAAAGAAAAAAGAAAUUCAUGUACGCAAAUAGUGAUAACACAUUUUAGUGGAGUGAUGAGUGCUGGAUAAAUUGCUAGCGGCGGACGGGUGCGUAACACGUGGGUAACCUGCCCCUAUCACUGGGAUAACACACUGAAAAGUGUGCUAAUACCAGAUAACAUAAGCUUUUGGCAUCAUUAGCUUAUCAAAGAAUUUCGGAUAGGGAUGGGCCCGCGUCUGAUUAGCUAGUUGGUGAGGUAACGGCUCACCAAGGCAACGAUCAGUAGCCGACCUGAGAGGGUGAUCGGCCACACUGGAACUGAGACACGGUCCAGACUCCUACGGGAGGCAGCAGUGGGGAAUAUUGCACAAUGGGC